rnacentral:rRNA from 1 species
GGGGGGAUAUUGCACAAUGGGCGAAAGCCUGAUGCAGCGACGCCGCGUGGGGGAUGAAGGCCUUCGGGUUGUAAACUUCUUUUGCUCUGAACAAGGCGCACCAUGGGGUGUGUUGAGUGUAGGGGUUGAUUAGCGCCGGCUAACUACGUGCCAGCAGCCGCGGUAAUACGUAGGGCGCGAGCGUUGUCCGGAAUUAUUGGGCGUAAAGGGCUUGUAGGUGGCUGGUUGCGUCUGUCGUGAAAGCUCAUGGCUUAACUGUGGGUUUGCGGUGGGUACGGGCUGGCUUGAGUGCAGUAGGGGAGGCUGGAAUUCCUGGUGUAGCGGUGGAAUGCGCAGAUAUCAGGAGGAAUACCGGUGGCGAAGGCGGGUCUCUGGGCUGUUACUGACACUGAGGAGCGAAAGCAUGGGGAGCGAACAGG